GAGGGUAUAGCUCAGUGGUAGAGCACAUGCUUGGCAUGCAAGAGGUCCUGGGUUCAGUCCCUCGUACCUCCA
rnacentral:tRNA from 1 species